rnacentral:rRNA from 1 species
UACGUAGGGGGCAAGCGUUGUCCGGAGUUACUGGGCGUAAAGGGCGCGCAGGCGGUCUGGUAAGUUUGGAGUGACAGUGCUCGGCUUAACUGAGCAAGGCCUUCGAAAACUGCUAGACUUGAGCACUCAAGAGGGACAUAGGAUUCCGGGUGGAGUGGUGAAAUGCGUAGAUAUCUGGAGGAACACCGGUGGCGAAGGCGGCAUCCUGGACCGGCAUUGACGCUGAGGAGCGAAAGCCAGGGGAGCAAACGGG